UCCGUAGGGGGCGAUCGUUGUCCGGAAUCAUUGGGCGUAAAGCGCGUGUAGGCGGCCUGGCAAGUCCGGUGUGAAAGCCCGGGGCUCAACCCCGGGUCUGCACUGGAAACUGCCAGGCUAGAGUCCGGAAGAGGAGGGUGGAAUUCCCGGUGUAGCGGUGAAAUGCGCAGAUAUCGGGAGGAACACCGGUGGCGAAGGCGGCCCUCUGGGACGGUACUGACGCUGAGACGCGAAAGCGUGGGGAGCAAACAGG
rnacentral:rRNA from 1 species